rnacentral:rRNA from 1 species
GGAGGAAAAGAAACCAACAGGGAUUGCCUUAGUAGCGGCGAGUGAAGCGGCAAAAGCUCAAAUUUGAAAUCUGGCACUUUCAGUGUCCGAGUUGUAAUUUGAAGAAGGUAUCUUUGGGUCUGGCUCUUGUCUAUGUUUCUUGGAACAGAACGUCACAGAGGGUGAGAAUCCCGUGCGAUGAGAUGUCCCAGACCUAUGUAAAGUUCCUUCGAAGAGUCGAGUUGUUUGGGAAUGCAGCUCUAAGUGGGUGGUAAAUUCCAUCUAAAGCUAAAUAUUGGCGAGAGACCGAUAGCGAACAAGUACAGUGAUGGAAAGAUGAAAAGAACUUUGAAAAGAGAGUGAAAAAGUACGUGAAAUUGUUGAAAGGGAAGGGCUUGAGAUCAGACUUGGUAUUUUGUAUGUUACUCUCUCGGGGGUGGCCUCUACAGUUUACCGGGCCAGCAUCAGUUUGAGCGGUAGGAUAAGUGCAAAGAAAUGUGGCACUGCUUCGGUAGUGUGUUAUAGUCUUUGUCGAUACUGCCAGCUUAGACUGAGGACUGCGGCUUCGGCCUAGGAUGUUGGCAUAAUGAUCUUAAGUCGCCCGUCUUGAAAA